rnacentral:lncRNA from 1 species
AUGCUGGGGAUGACAACUUAGCUUAAGUGGUAUGAGGGAUAGGAUUGGCAUUUUGGCACUGUUACUAGAAUUAGAAAACUAAGUCUACUUUUGGUAAUGAUGUUAAGAAUACCCAACAUUGGCCACAACACCCCACUAUAUGCAUUCACACUGGAUGCGUCAUAGUUCACACCGGACGUGUCUGGUGUUGGCCAGGACACCGUCCGGUGCUUUCAACCAUUUGAAAAGUACCUGUUGCCACC